rnacentral:rRNA from 1 species
GAGUUUGAUCGUGGCUCAGAGCGAACGCUGGCGGCAGGCCUAACACAUGCAAGUCGAACGAACUCUUCGGAGUUAGUGGCGGACGGGUGAGUAACACGUGGGAACGUGCCUUUUGGUUCGGAAUAACUCAGGGAAACUUGUGCUAAUACCGAAUGUGCCCUUCGGGGAAGGAUUUAUCGCCAUUAGAGCGGCCCGCCGUCUGAUUAGCUAGUUGGUGAGGUAAAGGCUCACCAAGGCGACGAUCAGUAGCUGGUCUGAGAGGAUGAUCAGCCACAUUGGGACUGAGACACGGCCCAAACUCCUACGGGAGGCAGCAGUGGGGAAGUCUUGCGCAAUGGGCGGAAAGCCUGACGCAGCCAUGCCGCGUGAAUGAUGAAGGUCUUAGGAUUGUAAAAUUACUUUCUACCGGGGACCGGAUAAAUGACGGUACCCGGGACGAAGAAGACCCCGGCUAACUUCGUGCCAGCCGCCGCCGU